rnacentral:rRNA from 1 species
GACGAACGCUGGCGGCGUGCUUAACACAUGCAAGUCGAACGGAAAGGCCCUGCUUUUGUGGGGUGCUCGAGUGGCGAACGGGUGAGUAACACGUGAGUAACCUGCCCUUGACUUUGGGAUAACUUCAGGAAAAUGGGGCUAAUACCGGAUAGGAGCUCCUGCUGCAUGGGGGGGGUUGGAAAGUUUCGGCGGUUGGGGAUGGACUCGCGGCUUAUCAGCUUGUUGGUGGGGUAGUGGCUUACCAAGGCUUUGACGGGUAGCCGGCCUGAGAGGGUGACCGGCCACAUUGGGACUGAGAUACGGCCCAGACUCCUACGGGAGGCAGCAGUGGGGAAUAUUGCACAAUGGGCGGAAGCCUGAUGCAGCAACGCCGCGUGCGGGAUGACGGCCUUCGGGUUGUAAACCGCUUUCGCCUGUGACGAAGCGUGAGUGACGGUAAUGGGUAAAGAAGCACCGGCUAACUACGUG